AUUGAACGCUGGCGGCAUGCCUUACACAUGCAAGUCGAACGGCAGCAUGAUCUAGCUUGCUAGAUUGAUGGCGAGUGGCGAACGGGUGAGUAAUACAUCGGAACGUGCCCUGUAGUGGGGGAUAACUAGUCGAAAGAUUAGCUAAUACCGCAUACGACCUGAGGGUGAAAGUGGGGGACCGCAAGGCCUCAUGCUAUAGGAGCGGCCGAUGUCUGAUUAGCUAGUUGGUGAGGUAAAGGCUCACCAAGGCGACGAUCAGUAGCUGGUCUGAGAGGACGGUCAGCCACACUGGGACGGAGACACGGCCCAGACUCCUACGGGAGGGAGCAGUGGGGAAUUUUGGACAAUGGGGGCAACCCUGAUCCAGCAAGGCCGCGUGUGUGAAGAAGGCCUUCGGGUUGUAAAGCACUUUUGUCCGGAAAGAAAUCGCACUUACUAAUAUUAGGUGUGGAUGACGGUACCGGAAGAAUAAGGACCGGCUAACUACGUGCCAGCAGCCGCCGUAAUAC
rnacentral:rRNA from 1 species